rnacentral:rRNA from 1 species
UAGGGAAUCUUCCGCAAUGGGCGAAAGCCUGACGGAGCAACGCCGCGUGAGUGAUGAAGGGUUUCGGCUCGUAAAACUCUGUUAUUAGGGAAGAACAAAUGUGUAAGUAACUAUGCACGUCUUGACGGUACCUAAUCAGAAAGCCACGGCUAACUACGUGCCAGCAGCCGCGGUAAUACGUAGGUGGCAAGCGUUAUCCGGAAUUAUUGGGCGUAAAGCGCGCGUAGGCGGUUUUUUAAGUCUGAUGUGAAAGCCCACGGCUCAACCGUGGAGGGUCAUUGGAAACUGGAAAACUUGAGUGCAGAAGAGGAAAGUGGAAUUCCAUGUGUAGCGGUGAAAUGCGCAGAGAUAUGGAGGAACACCAGUGGCGAAGGCGACUUUCUGGUCUGUAACUGACGCUGAUGUGCGAAAGCGUGGGGAUCAAACAGG